rnacentral:rRNA from 1 species
UCAAGUGAAUAAGUGCAUCAGGUGGAUGCCUUGGCGAUGAUAGGCGACGAAGGACGUGUAAGCCUGCGAAAAGCGUGGGGGAGCUGGCAAUAAAGCUAUGAUCCCGCGAUGUCCGAAUGGGGAAACCCACUGCAUUCUGUGCAGUAUCCUAAGUUGAAUACAUAGACUUAGAGAAGCGAACCCGGAGAACUGAACCAUCUAAGUACCCGGAGGAAAAGAAAUCAACCGAGAUUCCGCAAGUAGUGGCGAGCGAACGCGGAGGAGCCUGUACGUAAUAACUGUCGAGAUAGAAGAACAAGCUGGGAAGCUUGACCAUAGUGGGUGAUAGUCCCGUAUUCGAAAUCUCAACUGUGGUACUAAGCGUACGAAAAGUAGGGCGGGACACGUGAAAUCCUGUCUGAAUAUGGGGGGACCAUCCUCCAAGGCUAAAUACUCAUCAUCGACCGAUAGUGAACCAGUACCGUGAGGGAAAGGCGAAAAGAACCCCGGGAGGGGAGUGAAAUAGAACCUGAAACCUGAUGCAUACAAACAGUGGGAGCACCCUUGUGGUGUGACUGCGUACCUUUUGUAUAAUGGGUCAACGACUUACAUUCAGUAGCGAGCUUAACCGAAUAGGGGAGGCGUAGGGAAACCGAGUCUUAAUAGGGCGAAGAGUUGCUGGGUGUAGACCCGAAACCGAGUGAUCUAUCCAUGGCCAGGUUGAAGGUGCCGUAACAGGUACUGGAGGACCGAACCCACGCAUGUUGCAAAAUGCGGGGAUGAGCUGUGGAUAGGGGUGAAAGGCUAAACAAACUCGGAGAUAGCUGGUUCUCCCCGAAAACUAUUUAGGUAGUGCCUCGAGCAAGACACUGAUGGGGGUAAAGCACUGUUAUGGCUAGGGGGUUAUUGCAACUUACCAACCCAUGGCAAACUAAGAAUACCAUCAAGUGGUUCCUCGGGAGACAGACAGCGGGUGCUAACGUCCGUUGUCAAGAGGGAAACAACCCAGACCGCCAGCUAAGGUCCCAAAUGAUAGAUUAAGUGGUAAACGAAGUGGGAAGGCCCAGACAGCCAGGAUGUUGGCUUAGAAGCAGCCAUCAUUUAAAGAAAGCGUAAUAGCUCACUGGUCGAGUCGUCCUGCGCGGAAGAUGUAACGGGGCUCAAAUCUAUAACCGAAGCUGCGGAUGCCAGUUUACUGGCAUGGUAGGGGAGCGUUCUGUAGGCCGAUGAAGGUGCAUUGUAAAGUGUGCUGGAGGUAUCAGAAGUGCGAAUGUUGACAUGAGUAGCGAUAAAGCGGGUGAAAAGCCCGCUCGCCGAAAGCCCAAGGUUUCCUACGCAACGUUCAUCGGCGUAGGGUGAGUCGGCCCCUAAGGCGAGGCAGAAAUGCGUAGUCGAUGGGAAACAGGUUAAUAUUCCUGUACUUGAUUCAAAUGCGAUGUGGGGACGGAGAAGGUUAGGUUAGCAAGCUGUUGGAAUAGCUUGUUUAAGCCGGUAGGUGGAAGACUUAGGCAAAUCCGGGUCUUCUUAACACCGAGAAGUGAUGACGAGUGUCUACGGACAUGAAGUAACCGAUACCACGCUUCCAGGAAAAGCCACUAAGCUUCAGUUUGAAUCGAACCGUACCGCAAACCGACACAGGUGGGCAGGAUGAGAAUUCUAAGGCGCUUGAGAGAACUCGGGAGAAGGAACUCGGCAAAUUGAUACCGUAACUUCGGGAGAAGGUAUGCCCUCUAAGGUUAAGGACUUGCUCCGUAAGCCUCGGAGGGUCGCAGAGAAUAGGUGGCUGCGACUGUUUAUUAAAAACACAGCACUCUGCUAACACGAAAGUGGACGUAUAGGGUGUGACGCCUGCCCGGUGCUGGAAGGUUAAUUGAAGAUGUGAGAGCAUCGGAUCGAAGCCCCAGUAAACGGCGGCCGUAACUAUAACGGUCCUAAGGUAGCGAAAUUCCUUGUCGGGUAAGUUCCGACCCGCACGAAUGGCGUAACGAUGGCCACACUGUCUCCUCCCGAGACUCAGCGAAGUUG